rnacentral:rRNA from 1 species
UACGUAGGGUCCGAGCGUUGUCCGGAAUUAUUGGGCGUAAAGGGCUCGUAGGCGGUCCGUCACGUCGGGAGUGAAAACCCGGGGCUCAACCCCGGGCCUGCAUUCGAUACGGGCAGACUAGAGUUCGGUAGGGGAGUCUGGAAUUCCUGGUGUAGCGGUGAAAUGCGCAGAUAUCAGGAGGAACACCGGUGGCGAAGGCGGGACUCUGGGCCGAUACUGACGCUGAGGAGCGAAAGCGUGGGGAGCGAACAGG